UCAUACCAAAAAAAAAAAAAAAGUGUUUUCCAUAGGAAUGGAUUCUUCUUCUUCUUCGUCUUCAUCAUCUCGUCUAUACAGGUACGAUGUCUUCCCAAGCUUCUACGGUCAAGAUGUCCCCAGAACUUUUCUCAGUCACUUUCUUGAAGGGUUGAAAAGCAAGGGAAUUAAAACGUUCGUAGAUAAUGGGAUCAUGAGGAGCGAGUCAAUCAACUCUGAGCUUGUAAGAGCUAUCAGAGAAUCAAGGGUCUCUGUCGUGAUACUAUCUAAGAACUACGCUUCUUCGAGUUGGUGUCUAAACGAGUUGCAGCUGAUCAUGGACUGCAGAACUUCUUUAGGACAAUCUGUGAUGACCAUUUUCUACAACGUGGAGCCUUCUGAUGUGAGAAAGCAGACUGGAGAUUUCGGAAAAGCCUUUGAAGAAAAUUGUUAUGGGAAAACAGAGGAAGAGGAACAGAAGCUUUGACUCAGGUUUCAGUUAUUGCCGGAGAAAACUCUGUUUCAUGGGCUAGUGAGGCUGAGAUGAUAUCGAAAAUUGUCAUGGAUGUAUCCAACGAGUUGCCAUCAACGGAUUUUGAUAAGUUAGUUGGAAUUGAAGCUCAUGUAGCAAAGAUGAAAUCGAAGAUAUGUUUAGAAUCCGACGAGGUGAAGGUUGUGGGGUCCUGCUGGUAUUGGCAAGACUACCAUAGCUAGAGCUUUAUACAACCAAGUUUCCAGUUACUUCCAACUCAAGUUUUUUAGGGAGCCAGCUUGGAAGACUGGCUCUAACACAACGGGACUGCAACACGAGUUGCUGUCUGGAAUCUUAGACCAUAGAGACAAGAAGAUAGCUAACAAACAAGAGGCACAAGAUAGGUUAAUGCACCAGAGAGUCCUUCUCGUUCUUAACCCUGUCAGUUCCGUGGAGCUACAAGGUUUGCGGAAUCUGAUUCAGCGUCUUAGUUUCGGAAGCAAGGUGAUUGUGACGAAUGAGAUUUUAUCUACGUUGAAGAAUAACGGAAUCGAGCAGAUAUACAAAGUUACGUAUCCAUCAAGCGAAGAGGCUCUACAGAUAUUCUCAUACUCUGCGUUUGGGCAAAGCUCUCCACCGGAGGUCCUUCUCGGACAAUCGUUCCUCCGUGUUGGAUUUGCAAAGAAGAUCCAAGAGUGAGCAAGGGUCAUCUUCUACCGACAGUGGUGGCGUGGUUCUCUCUCUUCGGUGUAGUUAUGGCUCCGGUAAGCGGAGAAGAAGAUCUGGUGUAAGGGCUCCUGGUUUGAGGACGCCGGUGGGUUAUCGCCGGAGCUUCUCGGCUCCUCCGUUUCAACGGCUCGCUGUGACUAUAGCGGAAGCCGAAGGGUGAGUGGUGGGGAGUGCUGUUUCGUCGAGGUGGUUAAUGGCUCGAUCCUUUUGGAUCUUGUUGGCUGUCGCGGACUCUGGUUGCAGUUGGUCUGGGUGAGCCGUCAGCCUCUGCAAUUGCCGUGAAUUGUGUGUCCACCAGACCGGUUUGAAGUUGUCCUUGCUCGAGGGAGAUCGAAGCCGUCGGUGGUUAAAGGAGGGGAUAGAUCUGAGUUUUGGCGGUUUGCUAGGUCAGAAACUGCCAACGUCGAUGUCGGUUGUCGGAAGUUGUACACACCGGGAGGGUUGUAGCGGGUCAGGUGGCUCGCCGGAACAAGAUUAACGACAGAAACUGGAUUCUUCUGUCAGUAGUCUGGAUCCUGUCGUUGCUGCCUCAAAGCCGUGGCCCUUGAAUCCACCGGAAUUGGUGCGCUGACUCUCUGUUUCUGGUGAUCAACAGGGUCCGAUCCUCUUGCCGGCGGCUGCUCUAUUUCGUUUUUCUGUAAACCCUAAUUUUGUACUGGAUCCGAAUUGUAACAGGCCAAGGCCCAGCCCAUUUGGGAGUUUUAA